UACGUAGGGGGCUAGCGUUGUCCGGAAUCAUUGGGCGUAAAGAGCGUGUAGGCGGCCCGGUAAGUCCGCUGUGAAAGUCGGGGGCUCAACCCUCGGAUGCCGGUGGAUACUGUCGGGCUCGAGUACGGAAGAGGCGAGUGGAAUUCCUGGUGUAGCGGUGGAAUGCGCAGAUAUCAGGAGGAACACCAAUAGCGAAGGCAGCUCGCUGGGACGUUACUGACGCUGAGGCGCGAAAGCGUGGGGAGCGAACAGG
rnacentral:rRNA from 1 species